ensembl:snRNA
GUUUUGUAUGAAAGGAGAGAAGGUUUCAUCCUUGACAAGGAUGAAAGAGGUCCUUGGGCCUAACAACUCGCAUACGGUUAAGGCAUUGCCACCUACUUCGUGGCAUCUAACCACUGUUUUUU